rnacentral:lncRNA from 1 species
UUCAGGCACGCCGUGGAGGGGCUAGUUAAAGGGCAAUUCUGUUGGCUGAAGCCAAUGUCAGUCUUCGCAUGAACCGCCUUCAGGAGGCAUGUCAACGAUUCAACGGGGCUGUUCUCGCGAGACUCUAGGGCAACGGUUAAUGGACGGAAGACUAGUGGGACAAACAUGUUUUCAGAAAAUAGGUUGAAUGUUUUCUUCCGUAUGACAUUGACAGAAAACGUUUAUGACUCCUAAGACGUGUAAGGUCUGGGAGUAAUAAUAAUAGGGAACUAGCUUAGAGAACAACAGAAGACAUAAAAUGGAGCUCUCAUUUUAAUACGGACGCGUGCGUGGCUUUUAGCCUUAACCACCGUGAUGUAGUGUUGCCACGUGAAAACCACAAGUCCCAGAAUUCAGUAGGGUGAUAGGCUGCAUUGGGAUGUGAUUGGCUGUAGGAACUUGUCUCUUCCUCACUGGCUCCCGUGAGAGGCGGGGAUGCUGGGAUUUGCAGGCGAUCUAAGCUGCUGUGCUGGAUACAACCUUUCAAUCAGCGUGCUCUUCGUUUCUGCCUUGGGUUCUUGUUUUCCUCCGCGCGCCCCUCCCACACAGACCUCCCCCCACACACACCCCCAUUUGCGAUGUUUGCAGAGCUAGGCUGUUGCGGUUUGGGCAAGCGCAUUGCGGAUCAAUUGGUGCUUCCUUACCCAUCCGAAGGCCCGGAGCCUCACUUCUGGCUAGACCCACAUCUUUCGUGAAUCAAAAAAC